rnacentral:piRNA from 1 species
UGAAUCCUGCGUGCUGUNCAAAAAGAUGGU